AUUGAACGCUGGCGGCAGGCCUAACACAUGCAAGUCGAGCGGAUGAAGGGAGCUUGCUCCUGGAUUCAGCGGCGGACGGGUGAGUAAUGCCUAGGAAUCUGCCUGGUAGUGGGGGAUAACGUCCGGAAACGGGCGCUAAUACCGCAUACGUCCUGAGGGAGAAAGUGGGGGAUCUUCGGACCUCACGCUAUCAGAUGAGCCUAGGUCGGAUUAGCUAGUUGGUGGGGUAAAGGCCUACCAAGGCGACGAUCCGUACUGGUCCGAGAGGAUGAUCAGUCACACUGGAACUGAGACACGGUCAGACUCCUACGGGAGGCAGCAGUGGGGAAUAUUGGACAAUGGGCGAAAGCCUGAUCCAGCCAUGCCGCGUGUGUGAAGAAGGUCUUCGGAUUGUAAAGCACUUUAAGUUGGGAGGAAGGGCAGUAAGUUAAUACCUUGCUGUUUUGACGUUACCAACAGAAUAAGCACCGGCUAACUUCGUG
rnacentral:rRNA from 1 species